GACCUCCUUUGCUUUGUCGACAGUCUCUGAAAUGACCCCCUCGCUGAGGAGUGCCUCAUCUGCUUUGUUUCUGUUUGUCUUCCCCAUCCUGCAGUUCAGGGCGACAGCUCAGUGAAGUCUUCAUUCAGUUACCUUCCAGAAAAGAGUUACCAGAAUACUAUGAAUUAAUUAGGAAGCCAGUGGAUUUCAAAAAGAUAAAGGAAAGAAUCCGUAAUCAUAAGUACCGAAGCCUGGGAGACCUGGAGAAAGAUGUCAUGCUUCUCUGUCACAAUGCACAGACAUUCAACUUGGAAGGAUCCCAGAUCUACGAAGACUCCAUUGUCCUCCAGUCAGUGUUUAAGAGUGCUCGGCAGAAAAUUGCCAAAGAAGAAGAGAGUGAGGAGGAAAGCA
rnacentral:lncRNA from 1 species